GAUAUGGUUUUUUCGCAUGGCUGACGAAGCAGUCACCGCUUGGAUUGUUUGGCAUUUGUUAAUCUCGGAUUUGUAGAAAUUGGAUAGUCUUUCACGCUCUCUCCACGUCUACCACCGCUUCCACCAUUUGCAGUACUAUUAUCAGAUUAGUAAAAGUUAAAUAAUUUUUUUUUUGUUCUUAUCCUUCUGUUCUGCUGAUUUCACCCCUUCUCGAUUCAUAUAAAAGCAAAACUCAUUUUUACUUUCUACUCCAUUUCCUGUUACGUCCUACACCUUUAAAAUCAAAAUCCUCUCACUCACAUCGCACAAACUUUCAGUGGUUUAGUGUUGAUAGAUUAGUUCCUCGUUUUGAAGUUCCAAAGAUAACUAGCGAUCAAGAUUCAUGGUUAGAGGGAAAUUUACAGUAUCUGAUCUGCAUCAACCAUUUUUUUACUUAUCAUGUGCAAAGUGUAGUAAAACCACUGGAUACGAGAAAGAUGAAGAGUUUUUAUGCUAUAAUUGCAAAGAACUAACAACCGCACAGCCAAGAUCUCAUGUCUAUUUAGAGGCAUUCGAUGACAGUGGCUCGAUCGCAGUAGUAGCCUUCGAACCUACAGUAGAACGAAUUCUUGAUUGUACAACAACAGAUAUUAUACAGCAUGCAGAGCAAGUAAAAUUUAUACUUUCAGACACAUUUAACAAGUUUAACAAAUCAUUUUUUUAUAUGUUUUUGUCAUUACCGGAGGAUCAUUCGUACAUAGAGAACAUUACAAAUAGGAUUCAAGAUAAAGAGUGAAUGAUUGUUUUGGGUGCAUCUAUGAAUGAAUUUGGGAAAUUAUGCCAAAACAAACUUAACGUAUUAUCUGUCAAAGACAUACCUGGGACAGCAAAAUAGCUAUUUCAAAAAUUUUCUUCUAGACUUCCGGUUAUUAUAAUGUAUAACUAUAAGAAAUUCAUAUGUAAUUAUGAGAUAGCUCUUACUUUUUAUUUGUAAUUAUGAUGAUAACGCAUUAGCUUCAAUAGUCACUUUUUUAUGUACAAUAAAACAUUGUG